CCUACGGGUGGCAGCAGUAGGGAAUCUUCCACAAUGGACGAAAGUCUGAUGGAGCAACGCCGCGUGAGUGAAGAAGGGUUUCGGCUCGUAAAGCUCUGUUGGUAGGGAAGAAAGAUAGAGGUAGUAACUGGCCUUGAGUGGACGGUAAGUACGGAGAAAGGCACGGCUAACUACGUGCCAGCAGCCGCGGUAAUACGUAGGUGGCAAGCGUUGGCCGGAUUUAUUGGGCGUAAAGCGAGUGCAGGCGGUUCAAUAAGUCUGCUUUGAAAGCCUUCGGCUCAACCGGAGAAUUGCAUCAGAACCUUUUGAACUUGCGUGCAGAAGAGGCGAGUGGCACUCCAUUUGUAGCGGUGGAAUGCGUAGAUAUAUGG
rnacentral:rRNA from 1 species